GACGAACGCUGGCGGCGUGCCUAAUACAUGCAAGUUGAGCGCUGAAGGUUGGUACUUGUACCAACUGGAUGAGCAGCGAACGGGUGAGUAACGCGUGGGGAAUCUGCCUUUGAGCGGGGGACAACAUUUGGAAACGAAUGCUAAUACCGCAUAAAAACUUUAAACACAAGUUUUAAGUUUGAAAGAUGCAAUUGCAUCACUCAAAGAUGAUCCCGCGUUGUAUUAGCUAGUUGGUGAGGUAAAGGCUCACCAAGGCGAUGAUACAUAGCCGACCUGAGAGGGUGAUCGGCCACAUUGGGACUGAGACACGGCCCAAACUCCUACGGGAGGCAGCAGUAGGGAAUCUUCGGCAAUGGACGAAAGUCUGACCGAGCAACGCCGCGUGAGUGGAGAAGGUUUUCGGAUCGUAAAACUCUGUUGGUAGAGAAGAGCGUUGGUGAGAGUGGAAAGCUCAUCAAGUGACGGUAACUACCCAGAAAGGGACGGCUAACUACGUG
rnacentral:rRNA from 1 species